rnacentral:rRNA from 1 species
UACGUAGGGGGCGAGCGUUGUCCGGAGUUACUGGGCGUACAGCGCACGCAGGCGGUCUGCUAAGUUUGGAGUGACAGUUGGUGGCUUAACUGCCAAAGUGCUUCGAAAACUGACAGACUUGAGGGCUUCAGAGGGACACGGAAUUCCGGGUGGAGUGGUGAAAUGCGUAGAGAUCCGGAGGAACACCAAAGGCGAAGGCAGUGUCCUGGGGAGUACCUGACGCUCAGGUGCGAAAGCCAGGGGAGCGAACGGG